rnacentral:rRNA from 1 species
UGCCUUCGCAAUCGGAGUUCUGCGUGAUAUCUAUGCAUUUCACCGCUACACCACGCAUUCCGCAUACUUCUCGCCCACUCAAGACCGUCAGUUUCAACGGCGGGCGGAGGUUGAGCCCCCGUAUUUUACCGCUGACUUGACAGUCCGCCUACGCACCCUUUAAACCCAAUAAAUCCGGAUAACGCUCGCAUCCUCCGUAUUACCGCGGCUGCUGGCACGGAGUUAGCCGAUGCUUUUUCUUCGGGUACUCUCGACUCCGCCACGCGUGGCGGAAUUUGCUCCCCGACAAAAGAGGUUUACAACCCGUAGGGCCGUCAUCCCUCACGCGACUUGGCUGGUUCAGGCUCGCGCCCAUUGACCAAUAUUCCUCACUGCUGCCUCCCGUAGGAGUCUGGUCCGUGUCUCAGUACCAGUGUGGGGGACCUUCCUCUCAGAACCCCUAGACAUCGUCGCCUUGGUGGGCCGUUGCCCCGCCAACUAGCUAAUGUCACGCAUGCCCAUCCGUUGCCGGAAUCGCUUCCUUUGGCCGCAGGGCCAUGCAGCCCCGCGGCAUUACGCGGUAUUAGACGGG